UAAUGUCCAUGCCAGUUCCCCUUAUUUAUUCGUUUUUUUCUCUCCUCCAGUCAUCCUGGUGAACUUUCCCCAGUGGGGCUUCAGGCCUCGUUCCCUGUAGGCUCUUUCUGCCUUUCCCUGCCAAUGUCUUGGGUUACCGGGGUCUUUGUCUCACCUCCCCUUCCAGCGCUGGCACGCAGACUCUGCGGCGCAGCUCCGGCGGCUCCCACGGCUCGGCUUCCACGUGGUGGGUGACCUUGCUCUCCCCGUAGGUCCUCCGUGUCACAUCCACUAGAUCCAGAAGAGUUUCCUCUGCAAUUUUUUCCUGAUCCUUUUCCUGAGGCUACAGUAACUCCACUUUUAUUAAACUAUCUUUUCCCGGACUAUCGGUGCGCGCCCUCACUAUUCCGCCAUCUUGGCUCCGCUGUACUCUAUUAUUCUACUUUCUAAACUCUUAGCACACUCUAUUUUGCUUAAAUUUCUUCUGUUUAUUUAUUUAUUUGUUUAAAGAGUUAUUUAUUUAUUUGAAAGAGUUACAGAGAGGAAGAGGCAGAAGCAGAGAGAGGGAGAGAGAGAGAGGGAGAGUGAGAGAGAGGGAGGGAAUCUUCCAUCCACUGGUUUACUCCCCAGAUAGCUGCAACAGCCAGGGUUGGGCCAGGUCUCAGCCAGGAGCCAGGAGCCAGGAGCUUCAUCUGUAUCUCACAUAUGUGUGGCAGGAGUCCAAGUACUUGAUCUGUCUUCUGCUGCUUUCCCAGGUCCACUGGUAGGGAGCAGGAUUGCACGUGGAGCAGUGGAGACUCAUUCAGGCAGUGGCUUUAGCUACUAUGCCACAGCACUGGCUGGGCUCCAUGUUUUACUUAUUUAACUACUUGUUAUCCCCAACAGAAAGUGAGUACCAAGAGAAAAAGGACUGCACUCUUUUCCUUACCUCUCUUUGUGUAGAGCUGAUACUAUUGUGGGGUGGAGAAUACAUAGAUAUGCAACAAAUAUUUAUUGAAUAUGUAAAUAAAGGCAAGUUGCUUCAAUCCCGUCCAUCCUUUCCCCCCACACCUCUAACACCCAGAUUAUAAAAACUUGAAUUUAAAAAUUUUGUAGGUUCAGAUGCCAAUGAAAUUUAAGUUAUUUCUGAAGCUUAGCCAAAAUAUUUUCAGUUUCAAAGAGAAUACAGUUUGGUUUAAAGUUCCCAUUAAACAAAUACAGGAGGCAGAUUAAAUCCAACCAUUGAAAUACAUUUCUAAAUACUUCUAUUAGUAAGGAAGUCACAGGACUCCAUAGAAGUUCUAAUAUUUAUUCUAAAACUUUGUUUUACAAUUCAUUUUAUAUGUUUUUAUUUUAGAGCUACAUGUACAGAUUUGCAGAUAAAAGUCUUCUUUUUAUCUUUAUCACCUGCAAAUAUAUUCAUAUUUAGAAAUACACACCCAUAGUUGUCUCAGUUUCUACAUGGCAUGAUUCAUGCCUACACUGAUAACUUUUUUGUGACCUCUGAUUGGAUAUAUCUUUUAUUUAUUUGUUCAACUACAUGGGAUUUUUCCAUCAUAAAGGAAGCAUUAGGGAUUUUCCAUGCUUUAGUUUUCAAACAUUUCCCUUUAAAUUUCUCAUAAUUGCAUAAUUGCAACAUGGGAUGGCCCCAUGACUCCUUUUUAGAAAUGACACAUUAGAAAACACCUGGCAAGGCGUGUCCUUGGGGUCACUGAAGUCCUUCUCCAUGCUUGGUGACUCACAGGUAACAUUUUAGACCUGAAUCCCUGUAGAGAAGAAGCUAUGCAACCUAGCAUUACUUUAACUAUAAAAUUGUCUUGCAACCAUAGCUGUCUUGGCAAAAUUCCUUCUUCCUUUUUAUGCAAAAUAUGCUAGUUUUUAGUUUCCUAUGACACCCUAGGCUUUGUGUCAACAUACUUUAUAAUAUGAUGACUUAAUAUAUGUUGAAAUACAACGUCUGGUUGACUUAGCAGAUGUCACGUUCCAUGUUAACUAUUUUAGAAGUUUUCAAAAAAUAAACUUUACAGGGAGGAUGUGGUGUUGGAAAUUCCCAUCAAAAUUAGGGGUUUAAUGAGAAAUUUUGAAAGUAGUGGAUGAUUCUAUUACCUCUGACUAUAAAAAUAGUUUGUACCAUGCAUUUCUUUAGAUUUCUUAGAAAAACCCCUAACAUAACAAAGACUUAAUAAGGUUCUAAAACUUGAACAAUAAAAUCUUUGUGAUUAGCAUUAUUACAAAUAAAUCCACCUAUGGUGCACAUUGAGCCCUUAAGCAUGGAAACUAGCUUAACAUUCUUUUCUUAACUUACAUAAAAUUUCUCCCAAACUCUAGUUCCUUCAGAAGUAAAAUGAGGAUAAUAGAGUCUUCAGAACUUGAUAUAAGGUUUGUUAACAAGUCUGGCGAAGGGUUGAUUAGAGGUGAAGUUGUCAGUCCUGAGUGAAUGUGCUGAACGGCCUUGCAAGCCUCCAGGCUUGCUCUAGACCCUUCGAAAACUGACUGGGGAGCCCACAACCAUUAGCAGCUCAGAGUUCAGGCAGUAUCCAGGGACUUCAUGGCAUAGAAGGACGUGGGGAGCAAAGGAAGUAGUCAUGUGAUGACAUAAGUGGUCGAGUAGUUCAAAGUCAUUAAAAAGGACUGUUUAGAAUGUGAACAUUUCCUGGUGUCUAUAGAGAAUUAUUUCUCCGGUCUUUAGAACUUUAAAACAUAUGUCAUGAUUCUCCAGGCGAGGGCUGUAGUUUGCUUUUUUUUUUCCCCGAACAGUUUUGUCCUGAGACAUUUGAUGGUCCUAGUGCUUCCAAGACUGCAUUUUAGUAAAUUUUGUGUAUGGUCACUUUUUGCUUAUUUAGCUACUGCUCAGUGUUUGAGUAUCCUGACUCUUUGAUCAUCAUUUGUUCUAUAUUGCUAAUCAUGCUAAUAAGUCAUUUCAACUAAAUCAUAGUCAUGGAAUAGAAGAUUUAAAUUUCAAGUAGUUUGUGGAUGUAGCUUUUGGUUGAACUUGUGAAUCAGUCACUUAUUUGAUUGGCUUACCAGCAACUGCACUCCCCCUCCCUGCCAUCUUCUAGCAACUUUCCACUCUCCUUUUCCAGACAUGGCCCCUCCCUUCCCCACUACAGCAUGAAAACUGUGCUGUUCUUAUUUUGAAAUCCUGCCUUCUGGCCAUAGUUGUUAGAUGGCAAGUGGCCAUUUGACUUAAAUUGGUUCAAAAGAAAUAAAAUAUUAAGCUGUAAAAAGAGAGAGAACAGUAACUUAGUGGACACCUAGACCUUAACUCUGUGUUCUGGUGUGACAUAUUUCUAGAACCAAAACAAUAGGGGUAGUGGCCAAGAGGAGAGAUGGAGGCUGGGGUUGGGGGAGAAAGAGAAAGAGAGAGAGAAAUAAAAAGAAGAGAAGCAAGAGAAGAGAAGAGAAGAGAUUGGAGAGAGGAAUGGUGAGAGAAGAAUGAAGCAGUUUGUGAGAGACGAGCACAGAUGAUGGUUGCAGAGACUCCUGACUGAGUCCUCGUUUCAGCUCUUUUGUCCUUAUGUACAGUGACACAGCCGUGACAGAUAAUAAUGCCUGUUUUACUUGAGUCAGUUCAGUUACUUUUCACCAAAAUAAUUAUACUUACUACCAUCUAGGCAUAGACAAUUCAAUUAUAGUGACACCCUAGUCACUAUUUAUACCAUUCCUGUUAUCCAUAGAAAAUUCAGAUUUUACUUAUUUAUUUAUUUAUUUUUUCUGACAGGCAGAGUGGACAGUGAGAGAGAGAGACAGAGAGAAAGGUCUUCCUUUGCCGUUGGUUCACCCUCCAAUGGCCGCCGCGGCUAGCGCGCUGCGGCCGGCGCACCGCACUGAUCCGAUGGCAGGAGCCAGGAGCCAGGUGCUUUUCCUGGUCUCCCAUGGGGUGCAGGGCCCAAGCACCUGGGCCAUCCUCCACUGCACUCCCUGGCCACAGCGGAGAGCUGGCCUGGAAGAGGGGCAACCGGGACAGAAUCCGGCGCCCCAACCGGGACUAGAACCUGGUGUGCCGGCGCCGCUAGGCGGAGGAUUAGCCUAGUGAGCCGCGGCGCCGGCCCUUUACUUAUUUAUUUUUAAAAUAUUUUAUUUAUUUACUUUUUGAUGGGCAGAGUUAGAGAGAGAGAGUGUGUGUGAGAGAGAGAGAGAGAAAGAGAGAGAGAGAGAGUUGUUCCUUCUUUUGGUUCACCCCCCAAAUGGCCGCCAUGGUCGGUGCACUGCACCAAUCCGAAGCCAGGAGCCAGGUACUUCCCCCUGGUCUCCCAUGCGGGUGCAGGGCUCAAGCACUUGGGCCAUCCUCCACUGCUCUCCUGGGCCACAGCAGAGAGCUGGACUGGAAGAGGAGCAACCGGGACAGAGUCUGGUGCCCCGACCGGGACUAGAACCCGGGGUGGUGGCGCCGCAGGCAGAGGAUUAGCCUAGUGAGCCGCAGCGCUGGCCUAUUUUAUUUAUUUUAAAGGCAGAGUUUUACACACACACACACACACACACACACACACAGAGUGAACGAGAGAGAGAUCGAUCUUCUAUUUGCUGGUUUAUUCCCCGAGUGACCACAGUGGCCAGGACUGGGCUAUGCCAAAGCCAGGAGGCAGAAGCUUUAUCUUGGUCUCCCAAAUGUGUGGCAGGUGUCCAGACACUUGGAUCAUCUUCUGCCUCCUUUCCAAGGCCAAUUCCCGGGGGCUGGAUCAGAAGUGGAACAGCCAUGACCUGAACUGGUGCCCAUAAGGAAUGCUAGAACUGUAGAUGGCAACUUAACCUGCUGUGUCACAUGCUGGCCGCCAGAUUUAUUUUUCACAGCUAGCAUUUAAUGUUUAAGUAAAGAUCACUUUAGUAGGCUCAGUGUACAAAAAAUCCUAGAUAAGCUAUUUGAGGGUUUAAUAUUUUUAAAAGAAUUUAUAAAAAUAUUAAGUGUAUCAUCUGAACGUUGUAUAAUAAAAAAAGAAAAGGAGGCAUUUCAGAAGCAGGAAGCAGCAAGAAGAAAGGCAGAAAGGUACAAAAGUGAAUGGCAUGUACAGAAAAUGAAGAGUAGACUCUUCACUAAAAUGCAAGAAACUUGAGAGAGACGAUGGUAGAAAGAUUGGUUGGAAACAAAUUAUAAAAGGUCAUGAGCCAUGGAAAUUAUUAAAGGUUUUAACCAGUUGAGUGACAUCCAUUUAUUUGGUUUUAGAAGUAACUUUGGAUAAUGUUGAAAGAUGUGUACAAAUGAGAAGACAUUGGACAAUAAUUAUUGAUUAAUUGAUAUAUGAUGAUUGAUUCAACAAGAUUACAACAGUGGAUCUAGGGAGAAGGACUGUGUCUCAGAGUCACUUUGGAAGUAUAAUCAGUGUGUUGUAAUAACUGAACGUCAAGAGUCUGAUAUUGAGUGUGAGAGAAAGAGGCUCUCAGAUGGGGAAAUAGAUGAUGGCAAUGAUAGAGACAGGAAUACAGACCUGAAUAAAUAAGGAAGGGAAAUGUGUUUUGGACAUGUUGAGCUAAAAUAUUUUGAGUUCACCCAAGUUUACAUAUACAAUAGGUGGUUAGAAAAUUCCAUAAUGAUUGUUUUCCCUGUUGUAAAAAUGAUAAGCACUAGAAAAAUAGACACCGCAAUCAUUACCCUCAUCUCAGAAACAAUGAAGUAGAAAGAAAGCCACAAGUUUGACUGAAACAGUGCCAAAUGACAGCUCUCAGGACAAGGAAUUGAGAACAGAUAUCCCGGUACUCGGGCAACAGGGGCUGUUCAGGGUGUUCUGCAAGAGCAAGGGUGCGAGGACACACUAGACAUCCAGGGAGAAGUUCCCUUUUCCUGUGGAGCAAACAUCUUUGUUUGGGGGCUAUCAUCUGGGUUCCCUGUGGAAUUCAAACAUGUAUGCUGUCAUCUCUAAGACAAAACUUGGUGGGGGGGUGCUGUGGCAUAGUGGGUAAAGCUGCCACCUACAGUGCCGGCAUCCCAUAUGGGUGCUGGUUCAAAUCCUGGCUGCUCCUCUUCUCAUCCAGCUCUCUCCUAUGGCCUGGGAAAGCAGUAGAAGAUGGCCAAAGUCCUUGGGCCCCUGCACCCCACGUGGGAGACCCAGAGGAAGCUCCUGGCUUCUGGCUUCAGAUUCGCCCAGCUCCAGCCACUGCCAGCAUUUGGGGAGUGAACCAGUGCAUGGAAGACCUCUCUCUAUCUCUCUGCAUCUGCCACUCUGUAAUUCUACAUUUCAAAUAAAGAAAUAAAUCUUUGGGAAAAAAAGGACUAAGUUAGAAAGAUCCAAGGAAUCAAUUUCUGUAAGUGGCUGGGGAGCUAUCCAAAACAGACCUCUGCUGAGAGAAGAGUGAGUCAACCCCAAUUAAAACAUCAUUGUCAGGGUAGGUGUUUGGCACAUCAGUUAAGGUGCUCCUUAGGACACCUGCAUCCAUAUUAGAGUGUCUGGGUUUAAAUUCUGACUCUGCUCUGAUUCUAGCUUCUUGCUGGUGAACACCCUGGGAGACAAUGGUAAUAGUUCCAGUAGUUGGGUGCCUGCCACCCACACAGGAGACCUGGAUUGAGUUCUAGCCUUCUGGCUUUGUACUGGCUCAGCCCUAGCUGUUGUAGGUAUUUGCGGAGUAAACCAGCAGAUGAAAAUCUCUCUCUCUCUCUCUGCCUUUCAAAGAGAUUAACAUUUUUAUAAAAACUCAAAAGAAUAAAAAUGUGUCAUUAAUGUAGGAAUAAUUCUGAGUAAGGCUGUGGCUGUUUUCCUCAGUUUGUCCCUUUAUUUUAUCCUUGCCCAAAGAGACUUAGGACAGAGCCCCCAAAGAGGAGAUAUAAAAAUAAGAGAUUUAAAAACUUGAGAGGACAGGCAACAGUUGCACAUGUCCUGUGCAGCAGAGUAUAGCAAACUGUGCGUUCAGGGAGAUUUCUCUCCUUGUGGUUGAGUUUUGGAGCAGCUUGAGUUAUGGACAAGAGCAACUUGAAAAGGGAAAAGCAGGAUAGAGUGUCACACUAAGAGACAACAACAGUAAUGAGGGAGGAGAAGAGGAAGCCUUGUGGUCCCAGAGAGCUAAUGAUGAACAAUGGUAAACCCUGGUGCCUCUGGGUACACAUUGGGAGAAUCUGGAGUCCCUACAUCUGUGGCUGAGGAACAGGCUCAGAAAAGUGCUGUUUCAUUAUUAUUUUUGAUAGUACUUUUUCUACCUUUGUUUAUUCUGCAGAAAUGUCUUAAUUACUGUAUUUAAAAAAUCUAGAUAUUACUGUCAUAGACUCAAAUUAAAUAAAAAACACAGUGCAACCACUACUGAAUUCAGGAGAGAUUUUUUUAAAAAAAGAUUUAUUUAUUUAUUUUAGAGACAGAGUUAGAGAGGAGGGGGGAGAGAAUCAGAGAGAGAGAGAGAGAGAGGGAGAAAUCCUCCACCCGCUGAUUCAGUCCCCAAAUGGCUGCAACAGCUGGAGCUGGGCCGAUCUGAAGUCAGGAACCAGGAGCUUCUUCCUAGUCUCCCAUGCAGGUGCAGGGGCCCAAGCACUUGGGCCGUCUUCUACUGCUUUCCCAGGCCAUCAGCAGGGAGCUGGAUCGGAAGUGGAGCAGCCAGGACUUGAAUCAGCACCCAUAUGGGAUACCAACACUGCAAGUGGUGGCUUAAGCUGUUACACCACAGUGCAGGCCCCCUCAGGAGGCAUUUAUAAUAAACAAUUGACAUAUUCCCUAGAAAUUCUACUCUGGGUAAAAGAAAAAAAGGACUUUCUUAUUCGCAGCCCUUGUUUCAGGGUUGCAUCGCUGGAAAUGUAUCUCAUUCAGUGGAUCCUUCAGAAUCGUUAGUGUUAAAUCUCAUUGUCUGUGGCGUGUCUCUGGGAACACGCUUCCUUGAUCAAGAGUGUCUUGUGUGUUCAUAACUGUUUAGUGAGAUUUACACACAUAGUCUGAGGAACUCCUUCAACAACUCUGUAUAUGAAGUAUUAUUUCAUUCAUGUUAGAGAUGGAUGGGGGUUAGCAAGUGAAAUCCCACCUACUGUCACACAAAGAAUAGGGCAGGAACCAGCCCAAGUUUAUUCAGCAGCCAGGGAGGCAUUAGAAGUAGCUCAAGUGCAUCAAAAAUUAGAUCUACCACAUUUUACUCUUUUUUAAAGAUUUAUUUAUUUACUUGAGAUUCUGAGUUACAGAAAAAGAGAAGAAGUAGAGAGAGUCUUGCAUCUGCUGGUUCACUCCCCCAAACAACUGCAAUGGCUGGAACUGGGCUAAUCUAAAGCCAGGAGCCAGGAGUUUCUUCUGGGUCUCCCACACAGGUGCAGGGGCCCAAGACUUGGGCCAUCUUCUCCUGCUUUCCCAGGCCACAGCAGGGAGCUGGAUUGGAAGUGAAGCAGCUGGGACUCAGGCUGGUGCCCAUGUGAGAUACUGGCACCGCAGGCAGAUACUUAACCUACUAAGCUACAGUGGCAGCCCCCACAUUUUACUCUUUACAGUGUUCUGAUGUACUGGAAUCAAAUUCUAUGAAAUUUUUAACAUUCAUUUAUUUAUUUGAAAGACAGAAUUACAGAGACAAAGGGAGACACACACACAGAGUUCUUUUAUCUGCUGAUUCACUCCCCAGAUGGCCACAACAGCUGGGUUGGGCCAGACCAAAGCCAGGAGCCAGGAGUUACUCCAAAAUCUCUCAUGGGUGCAGGGCCCAAGCACUUGGGCUAUCUUCCGCUGCUGUUCCUAGGCCAUUAGCAGGGAGCUGGAUAGAGAACGAGGCAGCCAGGACUCGAUCUGGUACCCAUAUGGGAUGCUGGUGUUGCAGGUGGCAGCUUUAAGCACUACACCACGAUGCCAGCCCCUGAAAGCCUCAGUUUCUCCAUAUCAUUCAAGGACUUACCCUUGAACUAUAACUAUAUCUCUUUCUGUUUUUUUUUUUUUAAUUUAUUUGACAAGUAGAGUUAUAGACAGUGAGAGAGAGAGACAGAAAGGUCUUCCUUCUGUUAGUUCGCUCCCCAAAUGGUGGCUACAGCUGGUGCUGCACCGAUCUGAAGCCAGGAGCCAGGUGCUUCUUCCUGGUCUCCCAUGCAGGUGCAGGCACCCAAGCACUUGGGCCAUCCUCCACUGCCCUCCCGGGCCACAGUAGAGAGCUGAACUGGAAGAGGAGCAGCCGGGACUAGAACCCGGCACCCAUAUGAUAUGCUGGUGCCGCAGGUGGAGGAUUAACCAAGUGAGCCAUGGCGCUGGCCCCUAACUGUAUCUUUUUCAAUCUACCUUGUUUUGUGUAGGUUGAAAUUUAUCCCAUUAUACCUGUUCCUGGGAAUUAUUUAUUGGAGAUUUUCCUGGAAGCACACUGAAAUGUGAAUUUAUUAUGGAUCUUGUCACUUUUUUCUCAUGUUGCUUUCAACAACUUAGAGAUAACAUCAGAUAAUAAUCAGUAAUUGCAAUGCUUUGGAUACAAAUCAUGGCUAUCAUUCCACCACCACCUGAGUAAUACAUUAAAAUAAUAUAGUGCAUUUUUAUUUGUGAAAAUAAAGAAUUUCACUCUUCACAGUAUUUUUCAUUUUAUGUUUAUUUAAAAAAUGUUACUUAAGGUAUACAAAUUUCAGGUAAUUCAUAUAUACAGGUUCAGGAACAGUGAUGCUUUCCAUCCUGCUCUACCUGCUGCUCACACUCCCACUCUUAUUUCUCCUCCCUUCCCUAUUCACAUUCUUGUUUUUACAAAGAUCUAUUUUCAUUAACUUCAUACUCAUAAGAUUAACUCUACACUAAGUAAAGAGUUCAACAAACACUAUGAAGAAAAAAUACUAUUCCUCAACAGUUGAGACAGGGUUGUUCAAAAUCAAGCAUCUCAAAACGUCAAUUUCACUCCUAUAGGUUAUUUUUUAAGUUAUAGGUUAUUUUUUAACUCUAUUACUUACCACAGGUAAGAGAAAACAUAUGGUAUUUGUCUUUUUUUUUAAGAUUUAUUUUAUUUAUUUGAAAGACAGUGUUACAGAGAGAGGUAGAGACAGAGAGAGAGGUCUUCCAUCCACUGGUUCACUCCCCAAAUGGCCACAACGGCCGGAGCUGUGCUGGUCUGAAGCCAGGAACUUAUUCCAGGUAUCCCAUGUGAGUGAAGGGGCCCAAGGACUUUAGCCACUUCUACUGCUUUCCCAGGCCAUAGCAAAGAGCUGGAUUGGAAGAGGAGCAGCUGGGACUAGAACCAGCACCCAUAUGGGAUUGGUUUCAGGCCAGGGCUUUAACCUGCUAUACCACAGAGCUGGCUCUAGAUAUUUGUCUUUUUGGAACUGGCUUAUUUCGCUAGGUAUAAUGGUUUCCAAUUGCAUCCAUUUUGUUACAAACAACAGGAUUGUAUUUAUUUAUCUUUAUUUUUUUUUUUGCAGUGCAGUAUUCCACAGUGUAUAUAUACCAUAAUUUCUUUAUCCAGUCUUCAGUCGAUGUACAUCUGGGUUGAUUCCAUAUCUUAACUAUUGUAGAUUGAGCUGCAAUAAGCAUGGGUGUACAGACCACUCUUUCAUAUUCUGAUUUUAUUUCAUUUGGGAAAAUUCCCAGGGGAAUGGCUGGGUCAUAUGGUAGGUCUAUACUGAGAUUUCUGAGAUAUUGCCACUGUUUUUCACUGUGGCUGCAGAGGUUUACAUUCCCACCAACAGUGGAUUAGGGUGACUUUCCCCCAAUUUCCUCACCAGUGUUUGUUGUUUGUUGACUUCUUUAUGAGAACCAUUCUAAUUGGGGUGAGGUGAAACCUCAUGUCGUUUUGAUUUGCAUUUCCCUGACAUUGAGUGAGCCUGAUUAUUUUUUCACAUGUUGUUGACCAUUUGAAUUUCCUCUCUUGAAAAAUGUCUGUUCAGGCUGGCGCCGCGGCUCGCUAGGCUAAUCCUCCGCCUUGUGGCGCUGGCACACCGGGUUCUAGUCCCGGUCGGGGCACCAGAUUCUGUCCCGGUUGCCCCUCUUCCAGGCCAGCUCUCUGCUGUGGCCAGGGAGUGCAGUGGAGGAUGGCCCAAUGUGGGGAGCAACUUGGACUAGACUAAGUUACUGGAAUAAGACUUAUUCUAUGCAUCUGCUCUCCCACAAUAUGGCGCUGGGAGAGGAGUAAACAACUUCUACACAGCUGCCUCUCGCCAAUUUGACUGAUGAGCUGCAGGAGCUGAUCUUGCUCCUGAUUGGAGGAGAGCAGCGUGCUCGGCGUGUGGGUAGCAGAGUUGGGAUUGGUGGAAGAGGACUAUAAAGGAGGAGAGAGACAACAUGCACCAGGAACAUCUAUCUGAAGGAACACCUGUGCAGCCCCCGAGAGAGCCGGCCGGCAGUGUGCCGCUCCCCCGCGGAAGUGGGGAAAGUGGCAGGGGGAGCCGCCCUUCCACGGAGGUGGAAGGAUCGGCAGCCAACCCGGGAAGGACCAGCAGCAAACCCGGGAAGGGCCAAGCAGACAAAAGAACAGCGCAGGGUUUAGUGUCAUUCCUCCAUGAAGAGGGGGAGCGACAGCCCAAGUCCUUGGGCCCUGCACCCCAUGGGAGACCAGGAUAAGUACCUGGCUCCUGCCAUCGGAUCAGCGCGGUGCAACGGCCAUAGUGCGCCGGCCGCGGCAGCCAUUGGAGGGUGAACCAACGGCAAAGGAAGACCUUUCUCUCUGUCUGUCUCUCUCACUGUCCACUCUGCCUGUCAAAAAAAAAAAAAAUGUUCAGGUUCUUUGUCCAUUUCUUAACUGAGUUGUUUGUUUUGCUGUUGUAGAGUUUCUUGAUCUCUUUAUAUAUUUUGGUUAUUAAUGCUUUAUUGGAAGUUAAUUGAAAAUAGAUCUUAAUGAAAAAUAAGAAUGGGAAUAGGAGAGGGAGGAGGAAGAAGUCUGGGAGUGUGGGUGGGUACGGUGGGAAGAAUCAGUAUAUUCCUAACGUUGUUAAACAUUCAAAAAAAUCCUUUAUCAGUUGCAUAGUUUGCAAAUAAUUUCUCCAGGUCUGUCAGUUGCCUCUUCACUUUGCUGAGUGUUUCUCAGCUAUCUAAUCCCAUUUGUCAAUUUUGGCUUUGAUUGUCUGUGCCUCUGGAGUCUUUUCCAAGAACACUUUGCCUAUGCCAGUAUUUUGCAUGGUUUUGCCAAUGUUCUCUAUAUUCUGCUCCAUUGGUGUACAAGUCUGUUUUUGUACCAUUACCAGGCUGUUUUGAUGGUAACUGCCCUAUAGUAUGUCUUGAAAUCUGGUACUGUGAUGCCUACAGCUUUGGUUUUGUUGUGUAGGAUUGCUUAACUGUUCCAUAUGAAUUUCAUUAUCAUUUUUUUCUAUAUCUGAGAAGAAUAUCCCAGGUAUUUUGAUUGGUAUCACAUUGAAUCUGUGUAUUGUUUUUGGUAAUAUGGACAUUUUGAUAGUGAUUCUUCCAAUACAUGAACAUGGAAAAUUUUCCAUUUUUGUGUCUUAUAUUUAUUUCUGAUGUAUUGUUGGAUUCAAUUAGGUAGUAUUUUGUGGAGAAUUUCUGCAUCUUUGUUCCUCAGGGAUAUUGGUCUAUAGUUCUCUUUCUCUGUUGUAUCUUUUUCUGUUUUAGGAAUUAAGGUGAUGCAGGCUUCAUUUCAGGAGUUUGAGAGGAUUUCCUCCCUUUCAACUGUUUCGAAUAACUUGAGAAGAAUUGGAAUUAUUUCUUUAAAUGUCUGGUAGAAUUCAGCAGUCUUCACAGUAUUUUAUCACAUCCAUUUGAGGUGGGCCCAGCGGAUGACAAACUGUUAAACGUUAAUGUAAAAGCUGUCCUUAUUUAUAUGAGUCAGUUGGGAAAAUGUUUAGUAUUACACCACACCUUGAAGGUUAAUAAACUGGGGCAGAGUUAGACCAGGGGAAGUGCUGAAUUCCAGACUGAGCAAGGAAGCAGAAGAAUGACAUGAGAAAAUUUGUCAUCAGUUUGGGAAAACAGUAGUGUCCCCCUACCCAUUGUUUAUCUUUCCAAGUUUUAGUUAUCUACAGUUAACUGCAGUCCAAAAUUACUAAUGGAACUUUCUAAAAAUGAGCAAUUCAUAAGUUUUAUUGAACAUCAUUCUGAGUAGUGUGAUACAACCUCACAGCAGCCUACCUUGUUCCACCCGGGAUGUGAGUCAUCCUUUUGUCCAGCAUGUCCACACUGCGUACGUUACCUGCCCAGCAUCAUCACAACCGGAUGACCAGGAUCACCUGAAGCAGAAGAUCCUGCUCCCCAUGCAUCAUCAGAAGGCUGGGAGUAGUCUAAUGCCACAUCAUGGUGUCCAGGUCAUCCGUGUCUCUUCAUUUCAUCACAUAGAUGUUCUGUCACCUCACAUCUUCACAAGAAAGAAGCAUGUUCCAGGAGAAUCCUUAUAGAGGAGGUUCAGGUAGGAGGAAGGCAUUGGGUUCUGUGCCUCAUCAAGAAGCAUGUUCCAGGAGGAUCCUUAUAGAGGAGGUUCAGACAGGAGGAAGGCAUUGGGUUCUGUGCCUAUUAGUUGCCAGGGAUUAUGCUGGGUGCUUCUUGUCUACUUUUUUGUUUAAUUCUUUAGCAGCUAAAGCUGGAAAAUAUUCCUCCUCUCAUCUUAAAAUUAAAGAUUUAGGUGCUUUUUAAUGAUUUAUUAAAAUUAUUCUUUAGAUGAAAACUCUCAGUUGUUUUUGUAGCUGUAGUGUAAUUAUUUGCCAGGUAAAUUUUUGUUUCUGAAUUUUUCAUUUAAAUUAUGAAACUAUUUUCCCCUAUUUGGACUGACUCUCUCUCUCUUUUAACUUAGCAAACAUUCAUAUAUCAAUUGCUUUAAUUAGAGAAUGUAGUAAUUGCAAAUAUGAACACAAAGAAAACCCCUGCUCUAUAGUACAGAUAGUUUCUCUUCUCAGUACUAAUAUUAAACUUAUAUUUUCAUGAUUAAAUUUUAAGGAAAACAGCCUAAAAAACACUUUUCCAUUUUUCUGAUUAAGCUGUCUGUCUUCACAGCCAGAUUAGGAAACCAUGCUGUAUCAUUGAACAUUAUAGUGUAGUGCUGACUGUAGUUAAAAAAAAAAUAGCCUGAUUAGGAAUCAUCAAGCACAGAAAGAAUAUGGGGUUUUCCCCAAUCUUAAAUCAUUCUGGCUUAAUUAAUGAACACAGGGUUCACAGAGUUGACUUAUGAGGUCACUUUAUGAAGUAAUGGUUUAUAUGAAUUUGUGCCUCAGGAAUGAAAAAGGUUGGAGGUGAUACAGGGGAUUCUGGAAUUUUUUUGAAAGAAGAUGAUGGCAUCCGGCGUUCACAUGUGGAGGCAUUAGAGUGAGGAAUCUCUAUGGGUGGUUUAUCAUGAUGGUACAAGUGAUAAGAAAUGCAGGAUGUGUGUGUAUAAACAGGUUUUAUUGCCCUACCUUUACUUACAUACCCAAAAAGUGCCAUUUGUCUUUGCAGACUGUGUAUUCCCUAGUAUGGUUGGAGAUGGAAACAUUUUGGCUUCCAAAAUAUCUCUGAGAGAGGAAUUGUCUCCAAGUUAGUAUCCUCAUUAUGGAAGAGUCCUCAGAGAAACAACGCUUACCCUGCCAGCAAUUUGCCUGGUGAAUGAUUCAACAAACUGGGUAAGUCCAUGUUCCAGUAGUAUAGAGUUGUUGUAGAGAAACUGUUGAUAGUUGUACUGCUGGUCAUCAAUUUGAAAGGUGUCAGGCAGAAGGGGAUGCCAGUGAUAGAGUGUGUUAAACUCAGCAGCAAUCCGGUUUUGGUACUGGAA